rnacentral:lncRNA from 1 species
UAUAGUUCCAGUAUAAAGCAGCAAUCCAUUAGGAGGAACUUUGUUAUACAGUUUAAGCCUCUGUUGAGCAGAUGUUAUUGCACCAAGCACAGACUGACGGUUUACUCUGCUCUUAAUAUUUGAGGCAGUACCGUAUUCUUCUGCAAGCAUCUUGGUAAUCUGAGCAGAAGUUAUUGCACCAAGCACAGACUGACGGUUUACUCUGCUCUUAAUAUUUGAGGCAGUACCAUAUUCUUCUGCCAACAUCUUGGUAAUACGAGAUAUCUGAUCACCAGGGGGUAUGAUAAGAGAGAUCAUGCUCGUGCCAUUUCCUCUCGCAGAUUGUAGGGCUUUGAUUAACUUUUUCAUUUUCCAUAUCU